AUAGCAUCCAACAUGAGGUUCCUACGCAGCUCCUCCUGCUGCUCACCCCUUGCUGCUGCUUUCUUCUUCUUCUUCUUGGUCGCGGUGAUCGGGAGCACCAGCAGCAAUUUGCAGCAGGCCACAAAAUACAAUGCCAUGUUCAGCUUCGGAGACUCGGUGGCCGAGACCGGCAACAUCUGCGUCGUCAGCAGCAGCAGCAGCAACUCGACGGAGCUCGAAGCGCUCACCUGCACGCACCCGCCCUACGGCACCACCAACUUCGGCAGGCCGUCUUGCCGGUGGAGCGACGGCCGUGUCGUCGUUGACUUCAUUGCACAAUCACUUGGGCUGCCACUACUUCCACCGUCAAAAUCCAAAGGCAAAGAUUUCCGUCGCGGCGCAAACAUGGCAAUCACUGGUGCUACUGCGAUGAACUUCUCCUUCUACCAAUCACUUGGGAUUGAAGACCCAGUGUGGAAUCACGGCUCGCUGUACAUGCAAAUCCAGUGGUUCACGGAGUUGAUUCCUUCCUUGUGUGGAACGAAACAAAACUGCAAAGAAUUCCUAGCGAAAUCGCUGUUUCUGUUCGGUGGAUUUGGAGGAAACGACUACAAUAUCCAGCUUCUGGAGCUUGGAUUGACCCCAGAGCAGACAAUGAAGAACACCCCGAUUAUUGUUAAUGCAACUGUCAACGGUAUCGAGAGAUUGAUUGCACUUGGUGCAGUUCACAUUGUUGUCCCGAGCAUCCUCCCAACAGGUUGUCUCCCACUCUUCCUGGCGUUGUUCGUCGCCGGUUCCUCCGGCGAGUCUGACUUUGAUCAGUACGGCUGCUUGAAAAGUUACAACCGUCUGACAGAGCACCACAACUCAAUGCUCCGAGAACAAGUGCAAAUCCUCCAAAGAAAGUACAAGUCGACAAGGGUCAUGUACGCAGAUUACUACUCCCAGGUGUACAAAAUGGUCCAGCAGCCUCAAAAGUUUGGAUUCAGCAAUCCUUUUGAGGCUUGCUGUGGCGCAGGAGGAGGGAAGUACAACUUCGACGUCGCCGCCAGGUGCGGCAUGCCGGGCGCGACCACGGCCUGCCGUGACCCGUCGGCUCGCCUGAGCUGGGAUGGCGUCCACCCGACGGAGGCGGUGAACAAGAUGAUCGCCGACGCCUGGCUCAACGGCCCAUACUGCAACCCUCCUAUUCUAAGCUGAAUAUAUAUAUAUAUAUAUAUAUACAUAUAUACUGUAUUCCGUCCACCGUAUUGCUUGCAAGAUCUUGUACCACGGCUGUCUGGGCAGAGCCUGUACCACGGCUGCCCGGUGCACGCCUUGAGGCACGCGUCGUCCCAUGUCAGGGAGGGGACGUUGUUGCAGGCGUCGCCGGCGAUGAGCGAGGUGGCGAGGGAGACCAGUAAGGUGAAGACUCAAGACGAAGGUCAUGGCUGCUCUCGUCAUGUUUCUCUGGGAUCGAUGCUAGUUCUUCAUGGGGUUUGGUGAUAGAUGGCGAAACAAUGUGUUGGGAGAAUAAAAAUACGACAGAUUCUCUAAAGGAUCAGAAAUGCGGAGGAUCAUGUGUAAGUAGAAAUGCCAACCAAAAAAGGCCCCCAGCAAAUACGAGACCAUGGUCAGAUCAUAAUCUGCCGUGACCAUGGCGACCACCGGCAAGCCG